rnacentral:rRNA from 1 species
GGUCUGUAGGUGGUUUGUUAAGUCAGAUGUGAAAGCCCAGGGCUCAACCUUGGAACUGCAUUUGAUACUGGCAAACUAGAGUAUGGUAGAGGAAUGGGGAAUUUCUGGUGUAGCGGUGAAAUGCGUAGAGAUCAGAAGGAACACCAAUGGCGAAGGCAACAUUCUGGACCAAUACUGACACUGAGGGACGAAAGCGUGGGGAUCAAACAGGAUUAGAUACCCUGGUAGUCCACGCUGUAAACGAUGAGUACUAGCUGUUGGAUUCGGUGUAAAGGAUCUAGUGGCGUAGCUAACGCGUUAAGUACUCCGCCUGGGGACUACGGCCGCAAGGCUAAAACUCAAAGGAAUUGACGGGGACCCGCACAAGCGGUGGAGCAUGUGGUUUAAUUCGAUGCAACGCGAAGAACCUUACCUGGUCUUGACAUCCUGCGAACUUUCUAGAGAUAGAUUGGUGCCUUCGGGAACGCAGUGACAGGUGCUGCACGGCUGUCGUCAGCUCGUGUUGUGAAAUGUUGGGUUAAGUCCCGCAACGAGCGCAACCCCUAUUGAUAGUUACCAUCAUUAAGUUGGGUACUCUAUUGAGACUGCCGCUGACAAGGCGGAGGAAGGUGGGGACGACGUCAAGUCAUCAUGGCCCUUACGACCAGGGCUACACACGUGCUACAAUGGGUAUUACAGAGGGCAGCGAAGUAGCGAUAUGGAGCGAAACUCAGAAAGGUACUCUUAGUCCGGAUUGCAGUCUGCAACUCGACUGCAUGAAGUCGGAAUCGCUAGUAAUCGCAGGUCAGAAUACUGCGGUGAAUACGUUCCCGGGUCUUGUACACAGCGCCCGUCACACCAUGGGAGUGGGCUCUCCAGAAGUAGAUAGCCU